AAAAAUGAUAUUGUCAUUCCUUUUGAAAAGUAGAAUUAUAUAACAAGAAGAAUAUGAGGUAUUUUUGGGUGUCUAAAAAUCCACUUUUUUUAAAAAAAAUCAUUUUUGCAACAAACAACUUUUAAAGUGUCAUACUUUCUAAAAAAUUAUGUCACUGCUAUUUCUAUUAAAAAAUAUAUUUACGUAACAAGGUAAAUAUGAGGUAUUUUUCAUAAACUGGUGUCUAAAAUUGAAAAUUGAUGUGUUUCAUAAUAUAUUUUGGACCCUACGCAAAAAUCUUCUCUCUCACGGCACUAUAGUAUUUUAAUUUUAGACAGAGUAAUAUACGCGAAUGGACCUGUUUGAACGUGUUUUGUCCAGUUUUUUUUACAUAAGAUUACUCACAAAAAAGUUUCGUUCAUUCACUAUAUGGAUCGCAUUUACCUUAACAAAACUUUGCUGCCUUGUUGUUCGAAUUCUAAUUGACCGAAAAGUUGAUCAACCAUAUCAAUCGAAAGAGAUUUUAAACUUUUUUUACGUCCUGGUCCGAGCCUUCUAUCUCAUUCCGUCUUCACACAACAAGCGUUUGAAACUUCAUAUGGAGUCUCUCAGACCCACUUAUGUGUUUAAGGGUUAGUAUAAUCCAAAGUGCACCGUAUUAGAUCAUACGAAGAGAUAACUGAUCUACAAUUCAAUGCUACAUAUCCUGAUCACAAUUUUAUUUCUAAAUCCACCGUUCAGAAGACAGUGAUACGUUUUUACGAAAUAAAAACAGUUAAAGACCAAAAUCUUCUCUUCUCAUAACUCUAAAAUAUAUCUAGCAUAACUCAAAGUGUACCACGAGGUUGCCUGGCCGCCCUGUUGAAAAAGUCCAAUUCCAUUUAAUAUCAUACCAAUUUCAAUAAAAUUCUAUAUUCAUGAUAUAUAAUUAAUCUAACUGAAAUAACUAAAUAAAAAGCUAUUAGAUUUGGUUAGAUUUAAUCAAACAACGAGAACAAUUUGGGAUUAAUAUAUUAUAAUAAGAAAUUUCUGACCAGGUUUUAUCAUUUCGUAUCGUUUUGAAUAGGAUGUGAUUUCUUUAGGUUUAUACAUACAUAUAUGUACACCCAGCGACUUUGAUUCUGUCCAUGGGGAAAUUUUCCAAACUAAGAAGUCACCAUCCUUCUACAUACUCGCAAUUCAUGAUUAACGUAACGUCAGGCUUACGAUCGAUCCCGGCCGCUUACGACCGCAUUUGACACAAUUUGACAUAAGGUUAAGUAAUUUGACAUGAGGUUAAAUAAUUUGAGAUUUGCGACUUGAAUUCACUGGGCAAGAAGAUACUGACGAAAUCUCAGAUCUGGCUGCAGUGCAACAAGUGUAAAUACACCACGCAUCAUGAUUCCUUUAUGAUGCAAUUUUUUUAUUAUAAUUCUUUUCCUUAAAUUACAUUUAAUGAAAGUAUGCAUUAUUCAAACAACGACGGUUGUUUACGAAGUAACAUACGAUUAAAAGGAAUAACAAUUAGCAAUAUAAAUAAAAUUGAAAGAGCGAAACUGCGAUUUUUCCAACAGUGAGUCAAUUGACAUCGAUGUAUUGUCAACAUGACACAGCUUUGAUCAGCAAAAUAAACAUCAUUGCGAGUGUCAUGCGGAAAUUCAAUUAAAGCAACCAAAUGUAAUACUAAAGUGCCUUUGAUUUUUGCACAGUUAAUCAAACCAGGCACCGGCACGGACCAGUAUCCAGUGUGUUGUUCGUUGGUGAUGUCAUAUUUUCUGAAAAAUAUAAUUUGUAAUUAAUAAAUAAUUAUAUCCAUUGUUAAUGAAUUAAUUUUGUUAAAUAGAAAAAUUUGUUAUAAUAAAUUUAUCCGUUGAUUCUAAA